GAUUUCUGACUGACCGUCCUGGCCCGCUUCUUUUACGGGAGUGAGUGCCGGUACGAGUUUGUCAUCCUUCUAGAAAGCCGCGCCUACCGUUCAUUCGUGCGGGCGUGUGCGGUCUAGAUCUUUUACUUUGAAAAAAUUAGAGUGUUUAAAGCAGGCUUACGCUAUGAAUACAUUAGCAUGGAAUAAUAAUAUAGGACUUUGAUUCUAUUUUGUUGGUUUCUAGGAUUGAAGUAAUGAUUGAUAGGGAUAGUUGGGGGUGCUAGUAUUCAGCGGCCAGAGGUGAAAUUCUCGGAUUCGCUGAAGACUAACUUAUGCGAAAGCAUU
rnacentral:rRNA from 1 species